rnacentral:rRNA from 1 species
UACAGAGGUGGCAAGCGUUGUUCGGAAUUAUUGGGCGUAAAGAGCUCGUAGGCGGUCUGUCGCGUCGGUCGUGAAAACUUGGGGCUUAACCCUGAGCUUGCGGUCGAUACGGGCAUGACUGGAGUUCGGUAGGGGAGACUGGAAUUCCUGGUGUAGCGGUGAAAUGCGCAGAUAUCAGGAGGAACACCGGUGGCGAAGGCAGCUCGCUGGGACGGUACUGACGCUGAGGCGCGAAAGCGUGGGGAGCAAACAGG